rnacentral:lncRNA from 1 species
UUAGCUUUCCAUGUUAAUAGUAUCCUGUGAUAUUCUUAAUUGAAAAAAGAAAUUAGAAAAAGGUGGAUAAGGCCAAAAAGUUGUAAUCUUUAUCAUUAUAUUGCUGGUUUUCAGCAUGUUUUUUAAUAGUAAAACACGAAUAAAUUACCCCACCUGGUGUUUACAUCAAACCAUACUGAUUUACCAUGGUUAAUUCAUAGAUUACGGUGAGAUGCAUUUUAAUUAACUACUAGCCUCUCUACCCUACCUUGGCAUUCGUACACAUCACACUCCUCAGACCCCACUUGUGAGAUUACAUUUGUUUUUUUUU